GCCAGAGUGACGCAAUGGCAGCGUAGCGGUUUUGUAAACCGCCUGUUGCAGGUUCGAAUCCUGUCUCUGGCUCCA
rnacentral:tRNA from 3 species